rnacentral:lncRNA from 1 species
GUAAAAAUGCUUAAAGACUAUUUUUCUGAGGUAAGGUAAUUAUGCUGACAUGUUUAAAUUUGAAAAAAAUUGCUUCUUUUUCACAAAGCAAAGCAUGAAAACAUUCUGAGUGAAGCACGGGUCACGGCUGUGACCUGUCUGAAUCUGUCUUUGUCUCUCUGCACACUGUUGUCUGUAUGGCCAAGUACACCAAAGGGCGAAUGACACCUGGAUGUCUGGUUGUAAUAGUUUCUUUUUCUUAUAGUUACAAAUAACAGGAGCUGGUCUCUGUGGUUAAAUGAACGUUUCUCUCUUAAUUUCCUCCAUGAACCUGCCUAGGGGGCUCUUUUGAAUGCUUAAAUGACUUUACCAAAGUCUCGUUUUGACUAUCACUUAACACCAUUUUGGAAUUCUGUCUGAAGAAGUGUCUAGUCAUUUCCGAACAUCUCCUCUUGACUAUUCUUAAAGGCCUUUGUUCCCUUUCAUUCUGUUUCAUUUUAUCUCACUUUUUAGCCUCCUUCUCAGAUACCACUUGCAGCCUUUUUCCCUUGUGGAAGGACCCGUACUAGCUCCUGUCUGUAGUCUGUUGGGGCUCCUUAGGGCAGUGCUAAAGCCUUGUCAGCUGGUUGCUUCCAGAACGAAGUAACUUUUUAUUUAUUCUCAGGGAUUUUCUGUUUCAGAAAACCAAAUCUUUAUGCUCUGUCCCAAGUGUAGCAGCCAAGAUUCAAUCCUUGAGCCUUUGUUGCUAUUGCUGACCCUCGUUACUUUUCAAGGCUGUGCUGUGUGUGGUGUUCUUCACGUAGUCCUUUUAUGGUGCAUAUUGACCUGACAACUCCUAAGGACUGAAAGGCUGCGAAAAAGCUCUUCUUGGAAUGGCCUGUGCCAAGACAAAAGAAUGCCAAUACUUGAUAUUAAGUUACAUAUCCUUCAGUAACAUUGAAUCUUUUUUUUUGUACUGGGAUGGAACUCAGGAUCUUUCGCUCACUGAGCUAAAUCUCUGGCAGUAACAUUGAAUUUUGUUAGUUACUAAGUACACCUGAUAUUCCUCACAUUACAAUGUUUCUAUUAAGUACAAAGCAACAGUUUUUUUUUUUUAAAUCCCUGAAUAUCAUUGCGCUAGAAAUUUUUUAGAUAUAAGGGUAAAUACGAAUUUGGGUUCUUCUCAUUUUUCCUUCUUCUUUCCCCAGUAAGCUGUGCAAGGUUCUUGACCAACUGAAUGUGGUUGCCCAAAAUAUAGUGAAGAAAACAGGUGUCUCUGUAAACUUCCCUAAUUCUCACCGUAGCAUUGUACAGCCAGAUGAAAAGUAUGCAUGACAUUUAAAAAUUUAAAUCAAGAUUUUUCUUCUUACGGACAAAACUAUUCUAAUUAUGAACAGUUUGUGCCAGUUGGAAGAUGUAUGGAUUUAGUCCUUUGAGGACUGUGGCCCUGGGAGUAUUUCUGGUGGUUUUAUACAUUGAGAAAGAAGUGAAGGGGUCUUACCUCUUGCUUUUUAGAAUAAACAUUAUAUAAAGUAUCUCCAUGAAGUAAAAUCUUCAGGAUUUAAGGAAACCAGGCAUAAAUUCCUGAGUCUCUCUCCCAAGAAGUCACACCAACUCUCGUCCCCCACAGCAAAUUGUGACAGCAGGUGUACCGUGUUACCAGCCAGGGAAGCUUCUUAGAGACUCAGGGUAUUUUAUUAUUUAUUUAUUAUUAAUUAAUUUAUUUAUUUAUUGCUUUUUUUUUUUGAUAGGGUCUCACUAUGCAGUUGAGACUGACCUGAAACUCACUAUAUAGCCCAGGCUGGUCUGCAACUCACAGCGAUCCAGAUGCCCACCUUUUUAAGGAUAGCUAACACCUAUUGUGUUAGCUCGGACCUGCCUAGCACCUUCUUUUAAAUAACUCAAAUAAAAUGUUGGUGUCAUAACAUAGUAUUUCAUAACAACAGAUUCCCAAGCAUUCACUAGCAUAUGGAGGAAAUCGUUUCUGAAUGGAACAGUGCAAAAACAGCCACGGGAAUGUAACAAAGCCUUCCUGAGGAAAAGCUGCAGGAGGUAGAGAAUUCUUGUGCUGAGUAGAGAUGACUAAGGCCUGAGAGAUUUAUUCGGUGAAUUCCCUGCAGUUAGCAUAUCUAUAGAGACCUAGCAGGACAUGGGCUUAAGUGCAAGGAAAGGAGGUUUUGGCUGAAUGUGAGUGACAAGGUACCAGAGUAGAGGUCCCUGCGAUCCUUGAGAAGAACGUGGUGACCAGCUCAUCUCAGUAAUUUGUCUAUUCACUUAUCCAAAAGAAUGAGAGCAGGUGGAAUUAGCUGAUUUUUUUCAGGUGACUUCAGCUCUACCACUUUGAUUCUAUAGAUUUAAAAUAAAGAGCUAGUACCAAAAAUAAAUAUAUAUUGUGCUGUUAAAAUUAUUUUUGAAAAAGCAUAAGGCUGGGAGUGUAGCUCAGUAGUACAGCACAUGCUUGCUUUGCUCAAUGCCCUGGGCUCAGUCAUCAGCAGUGGAACAAAUUUUCCUUUAAAAUAUUUAUUUUUAAACCCCAAAGGAGUGAACCAGGAGGAUUUGUGAUUCCUACCUGUUGCCUGCAGGUAUAGCUAUUUGUAUAUUUAUAAUGAAUAAAACUUGUAUCCAUAGUUUGUGCUUUCUGCAAGCAACUGUGCGAAAAGAAACAUUAUUUAGUGUAAAAUUAUGAAUCACUUGAGACUUAUUUUUAAAAGCUCUUCUUCUGUUAUUUAAGUCUUAUGGAAGGGUGUAUAGCCCAAGUUAUAUGGCCUAUGAAUUUUUCUGUAGUUUCAUUAUUGGAAACUUAAUAGAAACACAAAUAGGAAUGCGAAAAGAAUAAAUUAGAGUGACUGUAUUAGUUACUUUUCUGUUUUUGUUUUUUGAGACAGGGUCUCACUAUGUAGUUGAGACUGACUUGGAACUCGCUAUGUAGCCCAGGCUGGUCUCAAACUCACAGAGAUCUUCCUGCCUCAGCCUCCUGAGUGCUGGGAUUACAGGCGUGUGCCACCACGCCCGGCCACUUAGUUACUUUUCUUGUUGGUGAGAACAAAAAUACCUAACAUCCAGAGUUAAAAGGGGGGAAAGGUUUAUUUGGCUUCCAGUUCAUAAAGGUUUUAGUCCAUAAUCAGCUGGCUGCAAGGCUAUAUACAGUCCAUGGCAGACAGACAGUAGCAAAGCAAAGAGACCUUAACAGCAGCUCCCUGCCCCUUGUAUUUUAUCCAGACUACUUAGGGCAGUAGCACUCACACCCUAAUCCUAGUGCUCUCAUGCCUAGCAUUGCCUCACGAAUCACAUACUUUACAUUCAGCCACCUUCAAAAUAGCCCUACCUGAUUUGCAUAGCUGAUUAUGGGCAUUCCAAGGAGCUUUGGAGGGACAUCUAAACAUGAGCCAUGGCAGUGACUUUGGAAAACAGACGCUAUAUUUGCUUAUGUUAAUAUUUGCUAGUGUUGCUUUAAGAAUGAUGUGACUGGGGAGACGAGAGGGAGGAAGGCAAAGAGUAAGUAAAAAAGAUCCAGAUGCAAUAUGUAUAUGUACCAACUCCCCACAAUGAAUGUACUUACUGUGUAUCACAAACAUACAUUAAUAAAAAAUAAAAAGGAAUAUGCUGUGUAGUUUACACAUACUUGUGAAUGUUCUAGUUUUCCUCUUAUUAUUUUAGUUUCCAUUGUGUUUAUAAAGAUAUUUUGUGUGACUUCAGUUUUUUCAAACAUACUGUUUUAUUCUAUAACCGGACAUAUGGUUCACCCUAGACUCUUGUACGUGGACUUGGGAAGAUGAAUAUUCUAUUGUAUUGUGUUUAGUUGUCUAAGGUCCAGUUGGUCUAUGGGGUUAUUCAAGUUCUGUAUUUCUCUGUUGAUUUUCUGUCUGUUCUAUCCAGAAAGGAGAAUGGAGUAUUAAACUAUUCUACUGUUACCACAGGAUUAUCUUUAAGAAGAUAGAGCCAUGGGCUCCGCACUCAAAAGACAUCAUGGAGACUCUGUCUAGUUAUAACAGCAGUGACUUUUGCAUGUAAUUUUGGAAUAACAGUUAUUUCUAACACCCAGUGGUGCAUUUUUCUUCUUUUAUUUACGUAACUUUUCAAGCUACUGGUUAAAGUUAGAAAGUGCUCAAUAGGGGGGAAAAAAGAACCAAGAUAUAUUAUGUAAAGGUACAAAUUUCCAAUGAUGAAUGUAUCAUAUUGUAUACCUAAAAUGUACCAAUAAACAAUGAAUAAAAAAAUUUGUUCAAUAAAUGAAUAGAUAAACACUUUAUAUUUUAAAUAAGGCACGUUAAAAUUUAUGGUACCCAUAGUUGGAGCUUUUAUACAAUGCAAC